UUCAUACAGAUAUUAUGCACAUCCACGCAACACUACUAUUCAAGUUAAGUUACUCAUCAUUGCCCGGCAAGAAGUCCACAAUCAAUUUAAUUAUCUUGCCACGAUCUGUGGAGCUUACAGACAACGUUAAAUUACUAUAGGUUCUGUAUGCUAUUUAAAGCCGACCUAACGAUGAGUCCCUUCAUGACGGUGUGUUGCAAUGCAUUAUGGGUGCUGUGCUGUGAUUCGACGGCUCGUCACCUGACCCACCAAACAACAACUCUCUGGGAUGUGGCGUAAAUCCUAUGCGUAAAUCUCGCAUGAAACCUUGUUGCCGGAACAGCAGGGAAGAGAAUUGAACGCAACAGGAUACACACGGAAGAGGCGGGUUAUUCGAACGAAUUUGAAGACAUCGAAGAACGAACCCUUUUAGUUUGAUGGACGUCCUUAUCAGUCUAUGGUCUAACUUAUGAACGUGUUGGGUCAACAUCAACGAUAAGUACCCAAACAGAAUACUUCAUGAAAAGUAU